UGAAGCAUACAGGCAGGCUGGAGAUGAGAUGCCACUGUUAUCUUGGAGGUGAGAAAGAGCAGAAGAAAGUGGAAGCGGAGAAAAAGUCUGUGGAAGAAGGAUGAAGAGAUCUGAGCCACUGAAUAUUAUUGGAAAUAAUCUAUCAUACUCACCAAUAAGCAGCUGCACUAUGUUGGAGCCUGCAUACUUCCUCACAUCCUCGAUCCAGCGAGGAAUAGACUGGAAAGAACCCCGCUUGCUGAUAUCAUAGGCCAGGAUCGCUCCAUUGGCGCUUCGGUAAUAACUCUGGGUAAUAGUCCGAAACCUUUCCUGGCCAGCUGUGUCCCAGAUCUGCAACUAAAGGAAAUCAAAAAGAAGGUGAUCACUUCCCCUUCAGUUAUAAGGCUUUUGAACCAUCUCUAACUGUACAAAUCAUAGAAUCACAGAGUUGGAAGAGACGACAAGGGUUAUCCAGUCCAACCCUCUGCCGUGCAGGAACUCACA